GGAAAUUUGUCACGUGGGCCAAAAAAAAGAGAGAUUGGUCUUCGAGGUUAAACGGACGGGCCAUCGUUUGCUCGGGUCGCGACGAACUCGACGAAAAACGACAAUGGAGAGCGCCCUUGCCUCGGCCGCUUCCAUCGCCGACCAAAGACACAAGAUCGAACAGUACAAGCUCAUUCUCGCAUCAGUUCUCUCCUCGUCCACCGGCGUCUCACAAGCAAAACGUUUCAUCGAUCACAUGGUGUCGGACGAGGUUCCGCUGGUGGUCUCUAGGCAGUUGCUACAGACCUUCGCUCAGGAGUUGGGCAGGCUCGAGGUAGACAUCCAGAAGGAGAUCGCUCAUUAUGCUCUGGCUCAGAUUCAACCGAGGGUCGUGUCAUUCGAGGAACAGGUGCUGAUCAUCAGAGAGAAACUGGCUGAACUCUAUGAGUCUGAACAACAGUGGUCAAAAGCAGCACAAAUGUUGAGUGGGAUUGAUUUGGAUUCUGGAAUUAGGAUGCUUGACGAUAUCUAUAAGCUCUCAAAAUGUGUCCAAAUUGCUCGCCUUUAUCUUGAGGAUGAUGAUGCUGUUAAUGCAGAGGCUUUUAUUAACAAAGCUUCUUUCUUAGUCAGCAAUAGUCAGCAUGAAGUGUUAAACUUACAAUAUAAGGUUUGUUAUGCUAGGAUACUGGAUUUGAAGAGGAAGUUUUUGGAAGCUGCACUUCGUUAUUAUGAUAUUUCCCAGAUUGAGAAACGUCAAAUUGGUGAUGAGGAGAUUGAUGAGGAUGCACUGGAACAAUCUCUUAGUGCUGCUGUGACAUGUACAAUAUUGGCUGCUGCUGGACCUCAGCGAUCCCGCGUUCUUGCUAACUUGUAUAAGGAUGAGAGGUGCUCAAAACUGAAAGUUUAUCCUAUUCUGCAGAAGGUGAAUCUUGAGAGAAUUUUGAGGAAACCAGAAAUUGAUGCAUUUGCAAAGGAGCUGAAAGCACAUCAGAAAGCUCUUUUACCAGAUAACUUUACAGUGUUGGAUCGUGCAAUGAUUGAGCACAAUCUCCUGAGUGCCAGCAAAUUAUACACAAAUAUAAGCUUUGAGGAAUUAGGAGCUUUAUUAGGAAUUCCCCCACAAAAGUCUAUGAGUACGAGUGGUGGGAUGAAAUGAUAGAGAAGAUGAGGGUUGCUAUCUCGAAGGUGCCUCACAUUGGAGAUUCAAAGUUUUAUGAGGUUGUUCAUGAUGUUUUGGUGGAGCGUUCGAAUAAAAGCAACAUGCCUCCAUUGUUUGGUGCAUUCUUUGAAUCUGAGGUAUUAUAGGAAUGAGUGGCUCCCAGAAUCUCCCAAUUGUCUUCUUCCCCAUAGGGACAUCGAAGUAUCAAGGGAAAGGAAAAAAUGUUGAAAGAUAUUACUCCAAUUCAUCAGAACGAAGAAGUGUCAAUGAGUUUGCCUCUUUUUCAGCCGCCAUUGAUGAUUUUUUUGAUAAUGAUGCAAUGCGCGACCGUGGUUUGAUGUCUCCAACUAAAAAUAUUCAAGAUUGACACAUCCAUAAUAAAUGAAAAUAAAUUAGAAAAUAUUUAAGAUUACGCAUCUGCAAAUUUAAUUUUUAUCAUAUGGCAAUUAACAUUUUCUAUUUUGGUAUUAAAUAGGGAUAAUUAUAAUCCCUAUUAAGAUUAAUAUAUUUUUUUAUUUAGAAUAUUUAUUUUGAUAUUUGUUGUUGAUUAAUCUAAAAAAAAAGUCUAGAGUCUUUAUUCAAAUCAUCUUUGAAUAAUAACAUUUUCAAUUUAAUGACUGUGAGAAAUGGAGAGUUUUUUCUCUGGGUGAGGAUAUUUUCUUCUUUGCUUCAUCAACUUCAUCCCAAGUUCUUGAAUUGUUCGAUGGUUCAAUUUUGGUAUUGGGUCAAAAACUUCUGUAUCUAUCGAGUUGAUCUUGCUAGAACUAUGAGAUGAUACUAAAAUUUUGGAAAGAAUUGUCUAAUAGUCAAAUUCUGACUAUUUAAUAGUUGGAUGAUGAAUAAAUGUAAGUGGAAAUUGAAUUCCAACAUCAAGGACCAUUUGGAAAAUGAUUUUGCAACUUGGUGGAGGAAUGUAGGUUCCUUUUUGUUGGAGAAGUUGUGUGCAAAUGGUAGGAAUUUGCUAUGUGACACAUGAUCUUAAUUCUCUCAAGUUUUGCCUGACUUCGAAUCAACCUUUUCCCGAUCAUCCUUAUUUUAUCUUGGGUCAGGUGCAGGCAUACAGUCUUAAAAGGUUCUAGUUGUUUCAUCUGAACAAUAGAUGCAAAUCAGAUGAAUUUGGGAUUCAGUUGGCUUGUGAAGGUAGGUCCAUUUAGUUAAUGUAGUUCAUAAGAAAAUUGAGACAUGUACACUGUUGCUCAGUGCAUGCAAAAUUUGUGCAGGAUCAUGUCGAAAAAUUGAACUGAUUUGUGGAAAAUAGUGAGAAAGGAUUAUUGAAGUAGCAAACAUGUGGGAGGUGAGAGUUCAAUUAAAGAGUCAGGUGAUAGUUGAAUAUUAGAAAGUCUGGGUGAAAGCUUUUGUAUACAAGAGUAACAAUUUCUUUUGAACGUGAUUCAAUGUGGGCAUAUUUAACCUAGUCAAUAAGAAGCUGACAUGUGUCUAGGCAGUUCUCAAUUAACAGCUGAAAUUCGUUACAAGUACAAGUUGGAGCUACUUGGACCAUUUGGCCAUGCAGUGAAUCUUCAAUACUCACUUUGAAACUUAUAAAAAGGAGGUCAUAACCACAUGAGAAGGAGACUAUAGGGAAUGUAUCGAAAUACCUGCUACAAUUUUUCAGAAAGCUCUUGGCGACAAACUUCUCAUCACCUUGGACAUGCUACUCCACUUUUAUCUAGCUCACCCUCCACUUCAAUCCACUUAGUGCUAAAGAUCGCUUGGCCAAACCUAACAUGACUCCACCCCCAUUUUAAGUAGUUUGAUCAAAUUGAACCUAUCAUUCCACUCAACCCGCCCUAUUUGUCCCGAGUUGAUCCCAUCUAGCUAACUUUCCUCGACUGGGGUUUGAGUUUGUCGAAGCAGCUAUCAUACAUCUAGAUUGCAAUAAUUUUCAUCCUAACACUGCCUAAAAGAGUGUUUAAUGGGUUUCAUGAAUUAUGUUUUAUUUGCUUUCUAACGAAUGUUUCAUUUUGCUCUUCCACCCAAGCAAAAAAAUCAGAGAUUUUUUUUUUCUUUUGCAUUAUCUUUCUUUAUUUCUUUCACUACUUCAUUCCCUUUGACAGUCUUAGAAAAAAUAUUGGCAUUAUAUUCUCCAUGCUCAGAUUAUUUCUUGGCUCUUCUGUUAAUAUGAAACAAUCUGUUGAAUAUUUGCUGCUACUGAGAACUCUAU